UUCUGUCUCUGCUCUGAAGCUCUGGAGAGAGGUCUAAGGUCAGAGGGGUGCUCUCCUCCAGGUAAGACUCCUGCACAGAGGCCCCUGCUUCCUGCCUCACAAGGGUUGCUUUGUUCAAGGAAACUGGGACAUGGAUCUGGGAAAUAAAUUCAUUUUAGGGGCCAAAGCCUGACUCUUGAAAUUCACUACAAUAUCAGACUUGAAGGACAUCCUGUCAGCGCAGAAGGGGCCAGGCCCCUCUGUCUGACCCAAGGGACCUGAAGAGACACUAGAAACCCCAGGGUACAUGUGACACAUGGUGCGAUUCCAUCCACAUCCCUUCCCUUACAUCCCUGGGGAUGUGGGGACAGGCCACGGUCCUAAGAGCCGGGAAGGCCGCAGUGCCAGUCUUGGGCAGCUGCGACAUCACAAAGACUGAGACUGAAGGGAAGCCACCUGCCCUUGAACCCAAAUCCCGCGCUGCGACCUCCCGACCGAGCACAUCGGGCCACCGACCUGAGCCUGGGCGCUGGGGAAGCGGUCGUGAGGGCACAUCAGGCCAUCCAGCGACACCAACAAACUGACUUCCAACUACGGCAGCAGCUGUCCCUUACCCAGGGCUUCCUACCCGGCCCUCGUCUAAACACCGUACAACGAUGACUCGGACCUAAGGCUCAAAACGACGCCAUGAGACGGCGCUAUUAACCUCACGUCCAGACGAGCACGCUGACCCAGGCCCUUCUGUCGCCCCUGCUCACAGGUGACAGAGCCAGGACUGACCGGGCCUUUCCGGCUCCGGAGCUCGGCUGCCCCGCAGACCCGGGCCCCGUCCGCGUUUUAACCGGCCUCCCGCCACCGACGUGGGCUUCCCUCGGGUCGGGCUGCAGGCGGGCCGGACACAUGGCCCCCGCUCCUGACUGGCUCCACCGCACCUACGACGCCCCGGAACCCGAAGGCCGCGUCACCACCUGGGCCUGACACGCGUCGCGGGCGCCGAGGGGCGCCUCCUGGGGCCUUCUGAAACCCGGAGAACACCUGUGGGGAGGUGGGGAGAGUUCCCCAAGCCUCGCGAGGCCCCCGCCCCUCGGCCUUCUCACCCCAGUGCUCACACCACGCAGGCGCAAAGACAGCGAAACUCCGCGACCCUGGUCCCAGCGGAGCUGGGAGACCCGGGCGGAAGGAGGCGGAGCUAGGACUGCACAUGCACGGAAGGAGCCAAGAGGACGGUGUGCGGAGUUCCGCGCCGAGCCAGCUGGAGGCAAGGCUGCGUUUUCCAUCAACCUUGCUGCCCGACCUGAGGUGACUGUUAGGGUUUUUCUGCAUUUUAAAAGCAACUGGAAGAUCAGCCCGACCUCUGGUGCUCCACUCAAGAAACCUGAGUUGACUGACCAAUUGAUUGCAGAGCCGCAGAAGGAAAAUGGUGACAAGAGGGGAAGUGGUUGACACGGCAGAAUUGCAGUCAAGGUAAGCUCAAAAUUAGAGGGACAAAUCAAUCCGCAUGCUCAGUGAUCUUCUAAAGUAGAAAGGAGUGAGAAGGGAAAUGAAAUGUAUUGAGGGACUAUUUGCCAAAUAACUUUUUUCAUACAGUAUUUUGUGUAAUUCUAACAAAUUUGCAGGUGAGAUAACUGGGGCUCAGAGAAACUAAGAAACAUGACCAAGACCACACAGCUUUAAAAGAAGUCAAACUUCAAACCCAGGCCUGGCAUUUUGCACACCCCUUCCAUGCCUCAUGUGCACCUUCCCCUCAGUGACAAUCCCCAGGCUCUCAAGAAGAGAGAAGCUAUCCAUCAACUCCCCAUAACUAGAGUUUACCUGGGAAAUCACCCCUGAGAAGCUGGGGUUUGGGCUCUGUAAGGUCACUCUGUGCCCUACUAUAGUGGAAAGCCACUGGGAAUGAGAAUAAUCAAUAACUAUCGUACAAAAUAAAGUGAGAUGGUUACCACA
rnacentral:lncRNA from 1 species